UGAAAGGCGAUGAAGAGAAGAGUAUAUGUACUUAAGCAUACAGAGAACUCCGGUAGCUGGGAUGGGGGAUGUAGGAGUGCAUGGAAACAAGUCUUGGAGCUGCACAUAGGAUAUUGCUUUUCUGAGAUUGAUGAUGUGUCGGGGUCUCCCGUUAUAGAGAUAGAGUAUAUUCUAUACAGAAGUACUCGAAAAGGUUUUUGUGGCAACACAAGAACAAACUGGGGUGGCACCACGAACUUCUAAAUUCUAGGAGUCUCGUCCUCAAG
rnacentral:ncRNA from 1 species